AUACGGAGGGGGCAAGCGUUGUUCGGAAUUACUGGGCGUAAAGGGCGCGCAGGCGGCCCAUCAAGUCUGAGGUGAAAUCUCCCGGCUCAACCGGGAGGAGUCUUUGGAAACUGAUGGGCUAGAGGAAAGCAGAGGAAAGCGGAAUUCCCGGUGUAGCGGUGAUAUGCGUAGAUAUCGGGAGGAACACCAGUGGCGAAGGCGGCUUUCUGGGCUUUUCCUGACGCUGAGGCGCGAAAGCGUGGGGAGCAAACCGGAUUAGAAACCCGGGUAGUCC
rnacentral:rRNA from 1 species